ensembl:lncRNA novel transcript, antisense to novel protein
CGUUAACCAGGAUGUUCUCGAUCUCCUGACCUCGUGAUCCGCCCACCUCGGCCUCCCAAAGUGCUGGGAUUAUAGGUGUGAGCCACCGCGCCCGGCCUGAGACCAGCUCCCCUCCCAGCUAGGUGACUGAGGAUGACCUGGCACAGUCGUGCUGACUGAAGGCUUGGAGAGGCCAGGUGGCCACCUGAGUGGGGCGUCUCCCCAGGACUUCCUGAACCGUGGCCUCCAGCUCCUCUGUGGACACAGCCAUCUUGGCGUGCACCGUGCCACCUGCCCCGGUCCCCCAGAGGCUGCAUCAGGAUCCUGGGCUCAGCUCAGCGGGGACCACAUCCAGGCUUCCCACAGCCCAGCCACUGCCCGCUCCUGGCCCAGCGCCAGCUUCCCCACCCCCUCCCACUCCACUUCUCCCUCGGCCCCAGGCCCAGCUUCUCUCCUUGCCCAGCCCUGUGGUCCUUACCCUGACAACCUUCUCCCCAGCCACUGUCAUCUCCCCUCUCUCUCCCCCUGGCAGCCCAGCCCCCAGGCCCCCACCUACCUCCUAGAAGCCUCCAAUUCCCCCAACCAGGCAGGUCCUGGGGAGCACAGGCUGCUUCCUGCUUCCGGCUCCACACCACCUGAGGCCUUGGCAACCAGCCCCGCCCUCCCCAGGGCCAGCAGAGGCCGCCCAGCCCAGGGGAGAGGGCCCAGGCCCAGCAGGUGCGCUCCCUGGCUCCCCACUGC